rnacentral:rRNA from 1 species
CGUGUAGGCGGCCAGAUAAGUCAGAUGUGAAAACCCUUGGCUUAACCAAGGAAGGGCAUUUGAAACUGUCUGGCUUGAGUACGGGAGGGGGAAGUGGAAUUCUCGGUGUAGAGGUGAAAUUCGUAGAUAUCGGGAGGAACACCGGUGGCGAAGGCGGCUUCCUGGACCGAUACUGACGCUGAGACGCGAAAGCGUGGGGAGCAAACAGGAUUAGAUACCCUGGUAGUCCACGCCGUAAACUUUGGGCACUUGGUGUUGCGGGUAUUGACCCCUGCAGUGCCGAAGCUAACGCAUUAAGUGCCCCGCCUGGGGAGUACGGUCGCAAGGCUAAA